UAGGUUCUUGUAGUUGAAUAA
rnacentral:tRNA from 2 species